rnacentral:rRNA from 1 species
AGUGAACGCUGGCGGUAGGCCUAACACAUGCAAGUCGAACGGCAGCACAGUAAGAGCUUGCUCUUACGGGUGGCGAGUGGCGGGCGGGUGAGGAAUACAUCGGAAUCUACUUUUUCGUGGGGGAUAACGUAGGGAAACUUACGCUAAUACCGCAUACGACCUACGGGUGAAAGCAGGGGAUCUUCGGACCUUGCGCGAUUGAAUGAGCCGAUGUCGGAUUAGCUAGUUGGCGGGGUAAAGGCCCACCAAGGCGACGAUCCGUAGCUGGUCUGAGAGGAUGAUCAGCCACACUGGAACUGAGACACGGUCCAGACUCCUACGGGAGGCAGCAGUGGGGAAUAUUGGACAAUGGGCGCAAGCCUGAUCCAGCCAUACCGCGUGGGUGAAGAAGGCUUUCGGGUUGUAAAGCCCUGUUGUUGGGAAAGAAAAGCAGCAGGUUAAUACCCCGCUGUUCUGACGGUACCCAAAGAAUAAGCACCGGCUAACUUCGUG